UAGGAUAUCGCCAUCCCUUCGAUGAUAGUGAAGUCGUGGAUGGAAGACAUGGAGCUCUUCCAACUGCUGCUCUUGUCCGAGAUGGAAUCUGCCUGGCCCACGCACCUCCAGUUACCCCUCUGGCCACAGGAUCCUGUGUCCGUUUGGCAAAGGCACAGGCCUCAGGAGAAGCAUGUGAGCCCACUGAAAUUGCACAGCAAGGGGCCUGCAGAAAGGCCUCUGGGUCGGCUGUUUAUAGCAAAAGCUCCACUUACUGGAAGGGCAGCCCUGCGUGGGGGCCAAUUUCCCAUGAGGCUUUGAGGACUCUCCUGGGACAACAGCAGGCCUUACAAGCUCCCUCCCUCCUUGCCUCCGUUGCUUCUGUUCCUCGUCUCACUCAGAGGAAGAGUAACCACAGGCCUCAGCCCUUCCUCACAGCUCACAGCAAGGGAACAGCCUUCCAGUCUCUUGUUAGAGCCUCUUUGGCAAACCCAACCAGAGGUCAGAGGACAAAGGAGCCUGCUGAUGCAAAUCUUCCAUCUCCUGGGGCACAGAGCAUGG